UUGACCUUCUCUAUGGAUAGGGGAGGGGCAAGAGGGAAGGAGACUCUGGAUUCCCCCACUCUACCCCUGCAAGGGCCAGUCUCUGUACAAGGAUUUCUUCCCUUCUCCAAUGCCACUGUUGCAAGUCCCUGAGCAAAUGCCCAAGGGUGUGUGGGAGAGGCUGGGGUUAAUUAAGGGCAUCUGAGAUGGACGCUGUUCAUUUCCUGCUGGUCACCUCCCGAGCCGUCCUGGAAGCCAGGCUUUGUGGACCUAUUCCCUUUCGGUUUCCCUCUGAUGAUUACUCCCCCAUGUUAUCCUUGACCUUAGCCCCUGAGGAGCAGCUCUGCUGGCAGUCAUCUUGAUGUCAGGGUGCAGCAGCCGGCUCCUGGCUCCGAUUCACUUGGUCCAUGAGUACAUUCGUGACAAAUCAGGCUGGGCUGAGGAAGAGGAGACGGAAGGCCUGGGAGGCCCCCAGGAUGUGACUAGGAAGGUGGGGGCACACGAAUGAUGGACCUGACACAGUGACUGGAGGAGUGACCAGAGGAUCCAGGGCGUGGGGUCAUCAGGGGAGGCUCUGGAGAGCAGCCUGGAUCCAUAAUCAGGCCUAGAGGGCGAAGAGAAUCGCCUAAGACCCCACAGUCACAGGCAGAGUGGGGACCAGAGAGCGUGCUGGCCCUGGAGCUGUGGUAACUGGACGAGAGUCGCCAUCAUCCGGAGCAUUGCCCUGAUGCUCUCCAUGUUAACUCAUCCAUCUUCACAGAACCCCGUGAGGAGGGUGCCAUGCUGUCCCCUGAGGAACCCUCGGGGACACGUAACAGUUCAUUUAUUCUAGGGUACUGGUCACUGUGUGGGGAGCAAGGAUUGGAACUCCACAGUUUGUUCUAGGGACUGCACUCUUCUCCCUGGAGGUGACAUGGAACAUAGGGGUCAACCCAUGUCCUGGCUGACUAAGAGAGGGUGAGGCCAGGGGCCCCUGUCCAAGCAUGGCCCUGGCAGGGUGAGCUCGUCUCAAUUUCCCAGCCCCCCAUGCUUCCCCAAAGUCUUGUCACUUCCUAGUGACCCCAUCGAUCAUGAUUUUUUGCAGACCCUCAAGCAGGGAUGAAUUCCGGUGAACAGCCGGCUCUGGGUGUGGGAUGCUGUCAUUUGCUGAUUGCUGUAGCAUGAAUAUUCCCACAACGGCCAGUUUCCAGCUAUCAGCUGGAUCCCAAUCAGCUCGCAAAACCGCACAAUCUCACAAGGGACUCUGGAUCUGUGCAGACUCCAGUCACCAGCACAGCCCCUCUUCCCUCCCAGCUCUGCCUGAACCCCCCUUCUCCCUACCCUCCUCACUUACCACCUCUGAUUAAACUAGGUUCUCAUAAACGGGUAUGAUUUGAAAGUUCUCAUCUUGGGAGGUUUAUUUCCUCUACUCAAAAAGAAAUAAUAAUAAAAGAUUCAUGGAGUGCU